CACGUAGGGUGCGAGCGUUUGUCCGGAAUUAUUGGGCGUAAAGGGCUCGUAGGCGGUUUGUUGCGUCGGCUGUGAAAUCCCGAGGCUCAACCUCGGGUCUGCAGUCGAUACGAGCAAACUAGAGUGUUGCAGGGGAGACUGGAAUUCCUGGUGUAGCGGUGAAAUGCGCAGAUAUCAGGAGGAACACCGGUGGCGAAGGCGGGUCUCUGGACAGUUCCUGACACUGAGACACGGAAGGCCAGGGGGAGCAAAACGGG
rnacentral:rRNA from 1 species